rnacentral:rRNA from 1 species
CCUACGGGGAGCAGCAGUCGGGAAUAUUGGGCAAUGGGCGCAAGCCUGACCCAGCAACGCCGCGUGAAGGAAGAAGGCUUUCGGGUUGUAAACUUCUUUUCUCAGGGACGAAGAAAGUGACGGUACCUGAGGAAUAAGCCACGGCUAACUACGUGCCAGCAGCCGCGGUAAUCCGUAGGUGGCAAGCGUUAUCCGGAUUUACUGGGUGUAAAGGGCGUGUAGGGGGGGAAGCAAGUCAGAUGUGAAAACCACGGGCUCAACCGGUGGCCUGCAUUUGAAACGGUUUUUCUUGAGUACUGGAGAGGCAGACGGAAUUCCUAGUGUAGCGGUGAAAUGCGUAGAUAUUAGGAGGAACACCAGUGGCGAAGGCGGUCUGCUGGACAGCAACUGACGCUGAGGCGCGAAAGCGUGGGGAGCAAACAGGAUUAGAUACCCUUGUAGUC